CCUUCGAUAGCUCAGUUGGUAGAGCGGAGGACUGUAGAUCCUUAGGUCGCUGGUUCGAAUCCGGCUCGA
rnacentral:tRNA from 1 species